GAACACAAGAGGGCCAGGCUGCUUUACUCGGGUGAACAUUUCGAACUGUUGGUUGAGGAACAUUUCUGAAGAGUCAUUUAAAAACCUGUUACGGUACAUUCGGCCGUAUAAUAACAUGAUGGAGUUUCUCCUUUAAACAUUAGGAAAGUCUCAAAGUAACUUAGGACUUAAACUGGAUAUUGUAGACAUAUAAAAUGUUAUGACUGUCUACAUGCAUAAAGUCCUUAGGUGUUUCUGCUGAAUUAGUUACAGAUACUUAUUGUGUAAUCCUGCACACAGUGAAAAUAAAGUAUUCUAGUCUCUAUAGAUUGUCCUUCCCCUAACAAGAUUCCCUAGGUUUUGAAUGGUACAGCAUUCAAUUUGUCCAAGCAAUGAAGAGGCUUCCUGUGAACUCUAUAACCUUCUUCAAAAGCGAUGUUUACCCAACAUGUCUGCAAUGUAAUGACCCUGAUUACAUUUAUAUGGGCCUACACCAGGGGUAGGUUUAAAUACAGUGAAUUUUUGCAAUUAGAUGUAGAAUACAAAUGUGCAUGACAGUCAAAGAAAAAUUAUCUGACAUGAUUGAUGACUGAAUUUUAAGACUAACCUAUUGCAAAACAAAAGCAUGUGACCGAAUGUUCCCUUCAGGAGAAUGAGUUCUUGGGUUUAAUUACUGGCUUGAAACAAGUUCAUCCUGCCCUGGGUCAUUGGGCCACUGCCUGCUGAACUCUGCUACUGUCUGCACUUUGACACAUUCUUAUUUGUUUUAUUGCCGUGGCUUUUCUCUUGAGAAACACUUAGUUUAGUACAUCAAAGUAUAACAUCUCAACAAUUCAAUAAAAAUUGUCUAAAAUAUAUUUAGUCACAGACAUAUAACUUGAGCAAUACUGCCUACCAAAAAGACAAAAUAUUGGAUGUAUUGUUUGCACAAGGAGCAAGGCAUUUAUGAAGCAGAUAAGGUUAUCACUGUUCAUCCUCACCACUUAUGUGUCAUGGCCAAGCUGAAGGGGGAAUGAUAUGGCUGUUACACCCUUAAGAGAAGUUCCUGAACUGUCUCUCAAAACAACAAGCCACCAUGAGAUGCAAGGUAGAAGCAGAGAGAGAGUAAAUAUAGACUGUGGUCAGGGGAGCUGGAGAGCUAAUAGCUGCAUGUGGGUGUUGGUUGGCCACUAACUCUGGGCUACAUGAAUGGAAACCAACCUUCAGAAGCAUAACAUUUAAGCUGACCUCAAAUCCUGACAAUUAAAACACAUUUCGAGCAAUGGCUGAACCACAGGGCUUGAGAAAAAACAUACUGUAACAACUGGAUGGCCAGAGAAGAGCUAUACAAAAACAAACAGGCUAACUCUUGCUGCAGGUGGUCUGCACUUCCCCAGGAUGCUGAUCGCUGGUGUGGAUUCCCCAGCUCUCCUCCCUCCUCAAUCCAACAACCAGGCGUCUGAAACACCUACCAACAGCUACCCUCACCAAUGAUUUCCCAACUGGUUCCUAUACAACAUCCUUGUGCAAGUCAGCUUGGUUCAACAACAGGAAAUAAUUCCUGUGGCUGAACAUGAAUGAGAUGGAAUUCAAGUUGGAGGAGUGAAGAAUAACAUACUGCUAUCAUUUGGCAGCUACUCAUGUUUUGAAAAGGGCCUGGAGCAGACAGACCUAUCCCGGAACAUUGAUUAGCAUAUGUAUGGCCCCUCUGCUCCUCAAUUCCCACACAAAAGACAGGCAGGCGGGCCAGCCACUAUGAGGGCCAGGUGGUAAGCAGUGGGAUUCCUUGCCUAAACCACAGCCUGAGGGACAGGUGCACACAUAUUCACCUCCAUACACAGCUACGUUACAGCUCAAAGAAAAAGGCCAACUUGAACUUUUGUGCUACCCAAUAAAAGUCUGGGAACAUUUAAUCUCUUUUGUGUUCUAAAAAAGCCUUUGGAAAACCUUGUUAACAGGAAGUAGUCUGAACUGAGAAUUUACAGUACAUUUGUGUGCGUGUGUAUUUGUGUGUGAGUGUGUGUGUGAGGUGGGGGGCUGUGCUGCAGUGUGGUCGAGUCUGGUCCACCACUGUGUUUGGAACACUCGUUUAGUUUUCACUUUGGAGGACUUUCAGAAUGAAAUGUGUGGUGAAUGGAGGGUUAAAGGGAUGAAGCCCAUGUAAAUGAGGAUCCCCGGUCCCUGUUCAGCCUGAUGAAAGGCUU